GAAGGAGGGAGCGAGCGGUGUAAAUGGUGGGCGAGGGAGAGAGUGGGAGAUGAUUCACGCUGUUUCUGAGCCCCCUUCCGCCCCUGCCCGCCCUAGUGCCGCGCCUGACGCUGCGGCUCAGCUGCCCGCCGCUCCCGGGCUCCCGUGCCCUCCCUCGCUGUCGGGCUCGUGUGCACGGGGGUGGAGAGGGGGAUCGCUGCCGGGGUGGUGCGGCGCUCCUCCGCUCUAGCCCCAACACCGCGGGCGACCGGCUGGGGCCGCCACCCUCAGCUGCACCGCAGAAACCCUAAAGGCAGGAGAGGCUGCGCCUCACAGGCCCGCAGCUGCGUGGGAGGACGGCUGAGAUCGCCCGAGGAGGUGGUGGGAUAGCGGGGACGUGUCCUCGUCGAGGCUGGCUGCAGCACUCGCGCGGCGCGGCGCGACCCGGCCGCUGUGGCCGCGGCCCUCCCUCCGUCCGUCCCCGCUCGGUCCCUGCCGGCCGCCGCGGGUGGCGGGCGGGGGGCAGCGCUGCCGCUCCGCGCCGGAGCCGGGGACGCGCCGGGCUGCAUCGCGCAGGCUUGUAAAGGAAAUAAUAAAGAUAUUAUUGUUAUGCUGUGACAGCCGGUCUAGCUGGAGCUGUGCGACACAAAGCCGCGUUGGUUACCUAAAUAUUUCGUAGAGAACUUAAAGAUAUUUCCCUGCGGCGGAGGCUAUUUCUGUUUACAAAUCUCAAGUUAUUCAGGUGGACGCUUAAAACGUUGUAAGAUGCGGGGGGAUGGGUAAGCAGGGCGCGGGGAAUUGCCUGGGCACCAGAAAAGCAUUUUUACUAUUUGACUCUCUGCUAUUUAUUGACUCGUUUCCUUUGAAAAAAUUUCUAAACCCGCUGUAACUGUGACGGUAGUGGUCAGUACUGGAGCAUCAAUUCGUACAAAAUUUAGGAACGUGUGUUUAUUGCAUUACACCACGCUCUGUGCUAAAUUCGUAUUGAUGUGUGUGUGCGCGGCAUGGCUGCUGACUCGAUUCCUCCUAAUACACGAGCUUAAAACCUGGCUGUUUGUGGAUGAAAUCCAAUUUCCAUUCUAAGCUCCCUGGGAGACAGCCUUAGUUUUAGUAAUCACUUACCAUUAAUACUGCCCCAAACAAUUUUUAAUACUUAAAAUACACAUAUCAUGUAUAAUAUAUAGCACAUCACCUCUGCUUAUAAAUUGCAAGCCAGAUAUGUAAUGCAUUAUAGGAUAUUAAACCGUGCACACAUUAACAUCUAAACAGGCUCCUGCCCAAAUGCAUUCACAAAUUAAGAACUCAAUCCAGCACUGUACAUAGGAAACUUUCAAUGACUUCUUUGGGAAUUGUGUCCCAGGAAUGUGAUAUCUAGCCUCCUUGCCAGCAGAUGAAAUAGAUGCAGCAGAUCAGUAACAAUUUGAUAGCAUAUAUGGUCAGAAAAAUGAUUGUAUAAAAAUGGAACUUUCUUACUCAUCAUAUACCCUUUGUAUCUAAGAUACUCUGACUCAUAAUUGCUUAGUUUACUGACUGAAAUAAAAUUCUAGGCUUCUGUUACCUUGGCAGUUGCUGACACAAUUAUGGUACAGCAAACUGGGGACUGGUUCUAACUCUUCCAUUUUCUUUACUAAGUUACAGCCAAAGAAUUUUAUUAGUAUUUGAGCCAGAAAGAGCACAGCAUGACUUGUAAAUCUCAGGUCCAGUCGGUAGGGUCAUCAGUCCUAAGAGGCCUCUUUUUUAUUUGUAAACCAAGCGAAUGACUUACAGAAACUUUUGAAGACAAAAAUAAACCCCACGAUGUUCGAAUUAAGCCAUCUUGAGUCAAUUUCCGCAGUGGAACUGGAUAAAUUGUAACACUGCUCUCUUUAUCUCACUGACUAUGUCCCAUUCAUCUGUAGCAACAUUGAAACAAACAAUUCUCUGGUUUUUAGACCACAUCUGUUUUACUGUGCCCCCUGCACCAAUUUUAAUUAUGUGACAGAUCUGAUUGGAUUCAGCACCUGCAAGUCCUCCCUUUGGGAUCUCCAAUUAGCUUAUAAAACAUUUACUUGAUUGCAUUCUUGAAACAAAAAUAUUGUUUCAUCCUAACAACAGAAAUAUUAAAGUGUAGAAUAAGAAAAGGUUUCAACGUGAUUUGUGGGUAUGUUGUUUGUGUAUCUAACUUCCAUAAGCUUAGAGGAAAAAGUGGUAAUCCUGAAACCUAAUUUCCUCAGACUCAGCAGAUGUCUGUCCUGUGUUAGCUUGUUUCUUUACUGACAGCUGUUUCACAAGUGCCUCCCCUCGUCUCUACAGAAUGCCUUUUGUUUAAUAAUUUCCCUCUACAUUAUCUCCCAUCCCACUUAGACAAGCUUUUUCAACUUUUCUGGUAGUUUUAGAAGGUUUUUCUGUAGUUUAAAGACAGGCUUAUUUUCGAAGAAAGUAGUUUUGACUACAUAACUAGCCUCUCAGAUAGUCUCUUAGUAACAGUUCUACUUAACAAAGCGGAUAGCUGCAGGUAAUCAACAUUUCAACCAAUACCGAUUUAGUAUUAAGGAAAGUUUUAAUUUUUACAGGUAAGCUUCAGAAUAUGCGCUUUUUUCUCCUUAUUAAAUUGCUUGGAGCAGUGAUAGUGAAGGUCUGGGGGGCAAUAUAACAUAAAGUACAGCCCUCUAGUGGCAGAGGUCACUUGGAGUUUAAAGCAAGCUGUGUCUUUGUCAUGGGUGGGGGCAAUGAACGGAACAGCUUUUAGCAAAAUGCAGGCAACUGUCCUGCAUUGUUCAUGGUCUGAAGCACGAGUGAAAAUAGUUGUGGCGGCCUGUAAUACCACCUUGCUCCCACUCUGUUGUAAUAUCUGUGCAGAAAGUACUGAUGAAAACUCUACUGAUCAGUAGAGUUUUCCUCUUUUUCCAAAUUUGUAAUCUGUUGUUCAUCUUUUCUGUUUUCAGCCAGCUCCAGACUGGCGUACCUGACCAGAGGUUUUUCAAGCAGUUGUGAGAUCUUGACUUCUUUCCUGUCUGUAUCAGUCAUGUCCUACCACAUAAUGUAUUCUGUAACUUCAGUAAGAGUUUGUUCAGAGAUGACAUGGAGCACAAAUUCCAUUUGCCAGCUUUAUUUCUAAAAUCAUUCUCAGCUGGUGGAGAUGUGAAUGGAAGCAUUCAAAUUAAUCUCUCCCACAGACAUGAGACCUAUGCUUAGAAGUGAAGAGGAUUAGGAAUAGGGAGAAAUUAAGCAUAUAUUUUAACAAAUAGAAAUCUAAAUAAUAAUAACUGAGGUGAAGUUGUAGUAGACAUCACUUAAUCUGAUAAAGUCUACUUUGUGGAACAAGACUCAAUCUCCUGUUUCUUUUAGAGGUGAUGGAUAGUUCUCAUCUGACUAACAGAAUGAAGAGUUCAUUUUUCCUCUUAUGGGAAAUAUGACAGAGUCCAAUAAUCAUUGGAUGAAAAACGAUACCUCUUAAACAUCUUGGCUAGGUAAAAGAAAACAAAUUCUGUCUUUGUCCAAAAGGACUGGCAGCUUUUCAUUACUGGAUGAUUGCUGUGACUCCUGUAAACUUUGGCUUCACUAAAAUUACGGUUAGUGAUGAACUUGGAAGACUCUUUCAAGUCUUUAACAUCCAUCUUCUGUUUAUGACACUUUUUUCCUCCAAUAAUCUAUCAGUUAAACUCUUAUUAUUGUUGAUGAAUUUAUCAAUUUGUUGCUUGUUUAAAUACUCCAGAGUUUGUUCAUCAGGAAGUAUUUUUUAAUUUCAGUGGAACUUCUCCAAGAUUCCAGCAAUAUUAACCUGAAAAAAAUCAAACCCAUGUUUGGGAAAAAAAUUCAACAUAUAUUAGACAGAAAAUGACCCAAUUAUCUUUUUUUCACAUUUAUAUUGGUUUUAUUAUGUGCACCUGUAUUAUAUGCAUUGCUGAACUAAAAGCAAAGUGUUAAUACUCUUCAGUGAAAAGAGCAUGGACAACUGCUAAACCUUUUCAUAUUGUAGAUCAUUGCUGUGUAGUAGCUUUCUUUUUCUGGGAAACUGAGAAUGAUAACUUAGAAUCAGUAAAAAUGUGACCGUACUAUUUGUCAUAACGUGAAUAAAUUCUUUUUCUGCUGGUGGAAGGAGGAAAUCAAUGCCCAUUUAUUUCUCAGCAGAGAGAUCACCUGUCUCCUGUUCUGACAAAGUUCAUCCAAUUUUACAGAUCCUUUUUUUGACUUUUCUUCAGAAUUGGGGAAUUGAGUUGAUCUGAGUUCUUCACUGCUGAAUCUGUAGGUCAGAUUUAUAAGGGGUUACCUGACGACUUACCCAGAUCUCAGUGUAGAAAAGAAGAUAGCCUCAGGACAAGGUUUAGGUUGUUUCCUCUAGAACAGAAAAAAAUCAUAUGCUGAAACAGUAAAAAUAAAAUUGCUGCAGAACUGAGUCAUUGCAAGUGAGAUGAAUGCCCAUAAAAAAAGUACAAAUUACAAAAAAACCCCAGAAACAGGAUCAUUGUGCAUUAGCAACAAUGCUUGCAGAUUCAUCAUGGCUCACAACAAAAGUAUUUAUAAGUGGACCUCCUGCCUCUGUUGCAUGCUGUCAUUGCUUUGGAUUGACUGCUGUUAGAUCCCUGUAAUCCUGAGCCCCAGGAUCUUGUCUUACAUGUUUACCCCACUUGGUAUGCAUGUCAGUACGUAUUUAAAAUGGAAAUGAACUCUAAUCUUUGUAUGUGUUAAUAGAAAAGGGUUUUAAUCUCCUAAACCCUAUAUUUACCAUGGGUUUAUUUUGUUGUUUGGAUUUUUAAAAAUAAAGUUUAUAAAACGCUAUGUUCAGAAUUUCAGCUUCUAUUUGUUUGUUUAUCCACUACAGUUUGGUUAGUAUUCGGCAUUUCUUAACUCAAUAGUGUGUCAUGGCAAUAAUAUUAUGGACUAUGUUCAAGGAUGAGGAGAAGAAUAGAGUAACAACAACCACUGGUCUAAAAAUUACAUUUUAAUACUGGAAAGUCUUGUCAACUUUAUUUGUAAUGCACUUAUUAGAAUAAAAUUUCAUAUUAUAGAAGACUGGUGUUACAGAUAUAGAAAUAAUAUAUGACUGCCAUUCACUUGUGAGAUUAUGUUAUGUAGAUGUUAUGCAGAGGUUAAAACCUAAAUAUUUUCUAAUUUAGAAAAAGUUCAUUAAAACUAUCAUACUCCAUUCCACCUGAAAACACAUUUUUGCCAACAGAUGAAAAAUAAUGUACUUCCUUUGAAAGUGGUAAAAAAAGUCACCAAUAUAGUUGAAUUCUAGUCCUCACUCCUGUAAGAAAUUUCAUAUUUGCAGUUCCUUGUAUCCGGUACAAUUCUUAUGUCAUGUAGGAUCUUAAAAUCACUGUUAUUUUCAUAUUAUGAUUGUUAUUAAUAAAUUUUUGCAUCAUCCAGCUGCUCCUUGGAACUUGAUUUCAUGACCAUUUCUCUGACAACCCUCUUCCAGUGACUGAACACCCUCAGUGAAGCACCUUUUCCUGAUCUGGUUCUCAUCUGAACUUCCCCUGAGAGAGGUUCAUUCCAUUUCCUCAUGUCCUGUCACUGGUCACCAAAGAGAGAAAAUCAGCACCUUCCCCUCUACUGCUCUUCUUGAGGAAGUUGAAGACUGAGAUGAAGUCUUCCCUCAGCCUUUUCUUCUCCAAGCUCCAACCAACCAAGUGACCGUGGCUGCUUCUCCCUGCCUUUCACCAUCUUGGUCAACCUACUCUGAAUGCUCUCUGACAGUUUCAUGUUCUUCUUAUAUCAAGGAUAAUAAUAUAAAUGUGAAAUCUCUAGAGCAAUUUGUAUAAUGGUGUGAUAUGAUAAGGAUGCUUUUUCUUAAGAUCGUAAUGGAACAGGUAACUCCACCUAGAUAGAACCUUAUUCCUGACAUGAAUUCAUUGACAUCUGUAUGCUGUCAUUAAGGAAAUGGAUCUUCCACUUCCAGAAAUGUGUUUUAAAUUUAUAAAACUUUUAAAUUUUGUCUAGUAAAAGUAGUUUCAGCACAUUUGAGUCUACUUAUUGAUUUCAGGAUCACUUCUGGAACUAAAGGUGAUGUGAUGAGUAAGUCAGCCAACUCAGUCAGUAAAACCCCCACUUUUAACAUCUGUCAUCCAAUGUGGCAGGUUAUUUCCCAAGUAAAGUAACAUUGGUAAACUAAGAAUACCUGAGACACAGAAAGAGGACACAAAAGAUGAUAUUGUUCUAAUUAUAGUUCUAAUCAUUAUAGUUCUAAUCUAACAUCAUACACAAUCAGUAAAGCUAAUUUUUUUUAAGCAAAACAUACAAAAGUUAAAAUUCUUAAAGCAAAAAUGACUUUGCUUAGUGGCACAUACUUUUCAUUUUAAAGUAAAUGUGUUAACAGAAAUGAGGCUAUAACAAACUGUAAUUUUAAAGCUUAGCUAAGUUUAAAUAACAAUAGAAUAGUGUUUCCAUCAUGAUUUACUAUUUAAUGUAAAUUCUUCCCACUCAUCCCCCAAAUUAUCUUACUGUGCUCUUUUAAGAAUUUAACAUUUUAUAAAGAUGAAACAUUUGGUACAACUUUUAACAAUUUAAGAAAACAACAGAAGAUGAUGAUUCUAGUAAAUGAAUAUGUUAAGGGUUUUUUUUCAGAUUUUAGUGUCUAACUGUACCAGUCACAAUUUAGGCAGUAGCCACAUGUGGUUCAACCAAAGUCAAAGAUAAUAUUCUGUAUCAAAGCCUGAAAGACUUUGUUCAGUUACACAAGUGCCCAUUCACUUGAGUAGUCUUUAUUCAUAUAUGUGAUCAUUUUCAACACAAUUUUUUACGUAUAAUCAAAACACUGAAGUGCUGCGAAAAGAGUAUCUUCUCUUUUCUUGUGUUUUUGCACAAUUUUCUAUACAGGCAAAUAUUCUGAAAAACUAAAAGAAAAGAAAAUUUACUGUUAUGUACAGCAAUAAAUGUCUGUAAAAGAUUUUGGUGUCUAUGUUCCUAUUUCUACAACAAUAUACAUUAUUUUUAAUAAUUAUAAUCUGAAGCUUCAUUGUUCUUUAAAUACUGUUUUUUUGAUCAGAUUUCUUAGAUAAAUAUUACUUUGAAAAUGUAUUGAUAUUUGAAAAUAUCAAUACCUCAAACUUUGUAUUUGUCAAGUCUAACUCAACUAUCUUUUGGACUUUGUGGGUAAGUUAUUCAUUAUUACCUUGUCAUAAUGUGGAAGAACUGGAUUGCACUAUCUUUUAAUCCAAAGAUUACAUCAUCAUUACAUUACAUCAAAAUGGAUUACACAAAAAUGGUUGAAAGCCACUUCUCUCAUCAUUAUAAUUGUCACAUUAGUGAAAGAAAACAGUCAGCAUUCCAUAAACAUUUUAUUUCUUUAGAGUCUCAAGAUUUCCCAGGAGAACAAAUCAUAUAAUCAAACAAAAAUGCUUGGUGUGAUCAAUUCUGCAACACUGCAUUACAUUUUCUGGAAAGUCAUUUAUGAAGGAAUUAAUUGUGUCCAUGCUAUUCAGUGUUGUCUAUAUACCUUAAUAAAACAUGUGAUGACAGCAGGCAUUGGUCAUGGAAGUUUGAACUUUAUUUUAUUGUGAUUGUUUUCAAUACUCAGUUUGAUGAAAUGAGCAUUCUGUGUAAAUCCAGCCACCUGAGAAUGAAGUUAAAAAUUGUAAUUCCUUUAUCAAAAUAAAGAAGCAUUUCACUUGUAUUUAGUGAAUUUCAGUUGUAUUACACAUCUCUAGGAUCUGAAUUGCAUUUAAAUGAUCAAAAUCUUUAAAAUAAAAGAAAAAUAGAUUGUC